UGAGUUUGAUCCUGGCUCAGAUUGAACGCUGGCGGCAUGCCUUACACAUGCAAGUCGAACGGCAGCACGGGUGCUUGCACCUGGUGGCGAGUGGCGAACGGGUGAGUAAUACAUCGGAACAUGUCCUGUAGUGGGUGAUAGCCCGGCGAAAGCCGGAUUAAUACCGCAUACGAUCUACGGAUGAAAGCGGGGGACCUUCGGGCCUCGCGCUAUAGGGUUGGCCGAUGGCUGAUUAGCUAGUUGGUGGGGUAAAGGCCUACCAAGGCGACGAUCAGUAGCUGGUCUGAGAGGACGACCAGCCACACUGGGACUGAGACACGGCCCAGACUCCUACGGGAGGCAGCAGUGGGGAAUUUUGGACAAUGGGCGAAAGCCUGAUCCAGCAAUGCCGCGUGUGUGAAGAAGGCCUUCGGGUUGUAAAGCACUUUUGUCCGGAAAGAAAUCCUUGGCUCUAAUACAGUCGGGGGAUGAUGGUACCGGAAGAAUAAGCACCGGCUAACUACGUGCCAGCAGCCGCGGCAAUACGUAGGGUGCGAGCGUUAAUCGGAAUUACUGGGCGUAAAGCGUGCGCAGGCGGUUUGCUAAGACCGAUGUGAAAUCCCCGGGCUCAACCUGGGAGCUGCAUUGGUGACUGGCAGGCUAGAGUAUGGCAGAGGGGGGUAGAAUUCCACGUGUAGCAGUGAAAUGCGUAGAGAUGUGGAGGAAUACCGAUGCGAAAAGGCAGCCCCCUGGGCCAAUACUGACGCUCAUGCACGAAAGCGUGGGGAGCAAACAGGAUUAGAUACCCUGGUAGUCCACGCCCUAAACGAUGUCAACUAGUUGUUGGGGAUUCAUUUCCUUAGUAACGUAGCUAACGCGUGAAGUUGACCGCCUGGGGAGUACGGUCGCAAGAUUAAAACUCAAAGGAAUUGACGGGGACCCGCACAAGCGGUGGAUGAUGUGGAUUAAUUCGAUGCAACGCGAAAAACCUUACCUACCCUUGACAUGGUCGGAAUCCUGCUGAGAGGUGGGAGUGCUCGAAAGAGAACCGGCGCACAGGUGCUGCAUGGCGGUCGUCAGCUCGUGUCGUGAGAUGUUGGGUUAAGUCCCGCAACGAGCGCAACCCUUGUCCUUAGUUGCUACGCAAGAGCACUCUAAGGAGACUGCCGGUGACAAACCGGAGGAAGGUGGGGAUGACGUCAAGUCCUCAUGGCCCUUAUGGGUAGGGCUUCACACGUCAUACAAUGGUCGGAACAGAGGGUUGCCAACCCGCGAGGGGGAGCUAAUCCCAGAAAACCGAUCGUAGUCCGGAUUGCACUCUGCAACUCGAGUGCAUGAAGCUGGAAUCGCUAGUAAUCGCGGAUCAACAUGCCGCGGUGAAUACGUUCCCGGGUCUUGUACACACCGCCCGUCACACCAUGGGAGUGGGUUUUACCAGAAGUGGCUAGUCUAACCGCAAGGAGGACGGUCACCACGGUAGGAUUCAUGACUGGGGUGAAGUCGUAACAAGGUA
rnacentral:rRNA from 1 species